rnacentral:lncRNA from 1 species
AUUCACCUCACGAAUAGUUUGGUAAUUCGCACUUCAAUUAAUUUGAAAAUUUUCUUAUAUAUAUACACAUAGAAUGAGGCUAUUAUACUAUCUAUAGUAUCAGAGCUCUAAUACUAUAGUUUCAUUUUUUAUCAUAGGGUGUUUAAUUUAACAAUUCACACCGUUGAAUAUGAUCUAAGAUAUAUAAAGUUCGUAGAAAUAAAAUUUUAAUUUCUUUCGAUAUCGUUUAUUUAGUAAAUAAAUUAUGCCAAAAUGAACGGUAAAAAUUGAACAAUAUUCACUACAACAGAAUUAGGUUAUAGGGACACAUGUUUGGGACACUUUUCAGUAAGUGUCCCAUUUAUGCUAAAAUUUAAAAAAACAUCUACUAAUGCCUAAAUAUAAAGCCCAAUCCAACCAAAAAUAAAAGAGUACUCUACUCAACCCACCACACCCAGUCCAUUUGGCCCGAUUACAAACAAAAAAGAAAAACAAAAAGAAAAAUCAAUUACCAUCUUUUCUUUUCUAUUCACUCAAUCCACUGAAAUUCUAGACGAAGAGUCUUUCCUGUCGUCCUCCUCCGCCACCGCAGCCAACGAGAUAGAGUUUCGGCGGUUGCUAAAUGCUUAAAUAAGUGUUGGUAAAUUAGCAGCACUCUUUUAGGUUAUAGCGACACUCUUUAACUGUCACUAUAUACCUAGCGACCCCACAUAUAGCAACACUUUUUAAAAGUGUCGGUAAUUUUAGCUAGCAGCACUUUUUUGACAUGUACCUUCAUUUAAAAGUGUCGCUAUACACCGUUUUUGUUGUAGUGAUUUAAAAUUUAAGGAUAGAACUUUGAAUUCAAGAUC